GCCAGAUUAGACUUUGCCAAACAUCUAAAAAAGCCUUCACAGUUCUGGAACAACAUCCUAUGGACAGAUGAGACCAAGAUCAACUUGUACCAGAGUGAUGGGAAGAGAAGAGUAUGGAGAAGGAAAGGAACUGCUCAUGAUCCAAAGCAUACCACUUCAUCAGUGAAGCAUAGUGGUGGUAGUGUCAUGGCGUGGGCAUGUAUG